rnacentral:rRNA from 1 species
GACGAACGCUGGCGGCGUGCUUAACACAUGCAAGUCGAACGGAAAGGCCCUGCUUUUGUGGGGUGCUCGAGUGGCGAACGGGUGAGUAACACGUGAGUAACCUGCCCUUGACUUUGGGAUAACUUCAGGAAACUGGGGCUAAUACCGGAUAGGAGCUCCUGCUGCAUGGUGGGGGUUGGAAAGUUUCGGCGGUUGGGGAUGGACUCGCGGCUUAUCAGCUUGUUGGUGGGGUAGUGGCUUACCAAGGCUUUGACGGGUAGCCGGCCUGAGAGGGUGACCGGCCACAUUGGGACUGAGAUACGGCCCAGACGCCUACGGGAGGCAGCAGUGGGGAAUAUUGCACAAUGGGCGGAAGCCUGAUGCAGCAACGCCGCGUGCGGGAUGACGGCCUUCGGGUUGUAAACCGCUUUCACCUGUGACGAAGCGUGAGUGACGGUAAUGGGUAAAGAAGCACCGGCUAACUACGUG